GGCCAGUAUAGUCUAGUUAGUUAUGGCGUUUGUGUGACCCGAAAGGUUCUGGGUUCGAACCCCAGUGUCCCCUGGUCUA